GAAGGUCAGGCUGAAGGCCUUACCCGAUUAGCUGAGAGGUGGUGCAUGGCCGUCGUCAGUUCGUACUGUGAAGCAUCCUGUUAAGUCAGGCAACGAGCGAGACCCACGUCCACAGUUGCCAGCAUACCCUCCGGGGUGAUGGGUACACUGUGGAGACCGCCGCUGCUAAAGCGGAGGAAGGAGUGGGCAACGGUAGGUCAGUAUGCCCCGAACCUCCCGGGCUACACGCGGGCUACAAUGGUUGGUACAAUGGGCAUCUACCCCGAAAGGGGAAGGAAAUCUCUUAAAGCCAAUCGUAGUUCGGAUUGAGGGCUGCAACUCGCCCUCAUGAAGCUGGAAUCCGUAGUAAUCGCGUUUCAACAGAACGCGGUGAAUACGUCCCUGCUCCUU
rnacentral:rRNA from 1 species